rnacentral:lncRNA from 1 species
CCUCUUUCUUGCGGAUAACGAAGACCAAAUACAGAACAUCCAACUUCAGCUAACGUAGCCAACCGCAGCUCCAAUAUGACAAAUCACGAAGAAUUCAGGCUAAAGGAGACACAGAAAAAGAAGGUAAUAACUGGACUUCAACUGUAUGUGCAUAACUAUAACAAAUAACACAGUACGUCAAACUCAAACUCUACACCCCCAAAUACGGUGAGACAGCUAUAAGGAACAUAAAUGUAACCCCAAUAUAUAGAAAACGUCAGAUACAACACAUACAAUCAAAACAUCUAAUAGCGAAUAUAUCAUACUUACCCACCAUACCAGCCAAUGCCCAACCCCAACCGGG